AUUGAACGCUGGCGGCAGGCCUAACACAUGCCAGUCGAGCGGAUGAAGGGAGCUUGCUCCUGGAUUCAGCGUCGGACGGGUGAGUAAUGCCUAGGAAUCUGCCUGGUAGUGGGGUAUAACGUCCUGAAACGGGCGCUGAUACCGCAUACGUCCUGAGGGAGAAAGUGGGGGAUCUUCGGACCUCACGCUAUCAGAUGAGCCUAGGUCGGAUUAGAUAGUUGGUUGGGUAAAGGGCUACCAAGGCGACGAUCCGUAACUGGUCUGAGAGGAUGAUCAGUCACACUGGAACUGAGACACGGUCCAGACUACUACGGGAGGGAGCAGUGGGGAAUAUUGGACAGUGGGCGAAAGCCUGAUCCAGCCAUGCCGCGUGUGUGAAGAAGGUCUUCGGAUUGUAAAGCACUUUAAGUUGGGAGGAAGGGCAGUAAGUUAAUACCUUGCUGUUUUGACGUUACCAACAGAAUAAGCACCGGCUAACUUCGUG
rnacentral:rRNA from 1 species